AUAGAAAAAGAGCGAAUGACAAUUUAAGGGACAACUUGUGGAUUGCCUAUUUUACCCCUAAAAUAUAAAUUUGUUAGUAUAUAUUAAUAAUUAUCAAGCUCACGAUUUUUCAAUUAAUUUUGACUUCUUUCUUUUUUUUCCUUUUUAAAGAGAAUGACAUUGAGUGAAUUAAGGGAUAUAAUAUAAUUAUCUUAUCAACCUCACGAUUUUUCAAUUCAUUGACUUCUUUCUUUUUUUUCUUUUUUAAAGAGAAUGACAUUGAGUGAAUUAAGGGAUAUAAUAUAAUUAUCUUAAUUAAGGGAUAUAAUAUACUUAUCUAUGGAAGAAGUUCACUCUAAUUCCGUAUAUAUUUAUAUAUAUCAAAAUCUUUAUCUUAUGUACUAACUAAACUAAACUCUAAAUAUAAAUAAAAAUUAAUUAAAGUUCUAAUUCUUCUCCAACUCAAUCAAUUAUCUCCUCACAACUAACUCAAAGCCAUCCUUCCGCACCAUCGCAUACAACCUCGCCGCCGCUGUGAGCCUCCGGUCCGCCGCGCUUCACCGUUGCUCUUAGUCUUUUUUCCGGUCGCCGCCUCCCCUCUUCGAAGGCCGGUUGAGGUUAGUUUUGAUUCUCGCUUCGUCUGUUAAUAAGCUUGCUAUCUCAAAUUUUGUGCGCCACUAUGGAGGUAAUAAAUUGGAACUUCCUCCCACGGUGGACGUAACAGUGUUUUCUUAUAGUAAAGUGUAUCUAUUUAUUCGUCGUUUGCGUAUUAUGAGAAAAGGA
rnacentral:lncRNA from 1 species